AAUGAACGUUGGCGGCGUGGAUUAGGCAUGCAAGUCGAGCGGAAAGGCCCCGCAAGGGGUACUCGAGCGGCGUAAGGGAGAGUAACGCGUGGUUUAUCUACCCUCAGGCCCGGGAUAGCUGCGGGAAACCGCAAUUAAUACCGGAUAAUAUCCCCGGAUCAAAGGUGUGAUUCCGCCUGUGGAUGAGACCGCGUCCUAUUAGCUAGUUGGUAGGGUAAUGGCCUACCAAGGCAAUGAUGGGUACUGGGGNGUGAGAGCAUGACCCAGCUCACUGGGACUGAGACACUGCCCAGACACCUACGGGUGGCUGCAGUCGAGGAUCUUCGGCAAUGGGCGCAAGCCUGACCGAGCGACGCCGCGUGUGGGAUGAAAGGG
rnacentral:rRNA from 1 species